AGAGUUUGAUCCUGGCUCAGAUUGAACGCAGGAGGCAGGCCUAACACAUGCAAGUCGAACGGUAACAGGAAGAAGCUUGCUUCUUUGCUGACGAGUGGCGGACGGGUGAGUAAUGUCUGGGAAACUGCCUGAUGGAGGGGGAUAACUACUGGAAACGGUAGCUAAUACCGCAUAACGUCGCAAAACCAAAGAGGGGGACCUUCGGGCCUCUUGCCAUCGGAUGUGCCCAGAUGGGAUUAGCUAGUAGGUGGGGUAACGGCUCACCUAGGCGACGAUCCCUAGCUGGUCUGAGAGGAUGACCAGCCACACUGGAACUGAGACACGGUCCAGACUCCUACGGGAGGCAGCAGUGGGGAAUAUUGCACAAUGGGCGCAAGCCUGAUGCAGCCAUGCCGCGUGUAUGAAGAAGGCCUUCGGGUUGUAAAGUACUUUCAGCGGGGAGGAAGGGAGUAAAGUUAAUACCUUUGCUCAUUGACGUUACCCGCAGAAGAAGCACCGGCUAACUCCGUGCCAGCAGCCGCGGUAAUACGGAGGGUGCAAGCGUUAAUCGGAAUUACUGGGCGUAAAGCGCACGCAGGCGGUUUGUUAAGUCAGAUGUGAAAUCCCCGGGCUCAACCUGGGAACUGCAUCUGAUACUGGCAAGCUUGAGUCUCGUAGAGGGGGGUAGAAUUCCAGGUGUAGCGGUGAAAUGCGUAGAGAUCUGGAGGAAUACCGGUGGCGAAGGCGGCCCCCUGGACGAAGACUGACGCUCAGGUGCGAAAGCGUGGGGAGCAAACAGGAUUAGAUACCCUGGUAGUCCACGCCGUAAACGAUGUCGACUUGGAGGUUGUGCCCUUGAGGCGUGGCUUCCGGAGCUAACGCGUUAAGUCGACCGCCUGAGGAGUACGGCCGCAAGGUUAAAACUCAAAUGAAUUGACGGGGGCCCGCACAAGCGGUGGAGCAUGUGGUUUAAUUCGAUGCAACGCGAAGAACCUUACCUGGUCUUGACAUCCACGGAAGUUUUCAGAGAUGAGAAUGUGCCUUCGGGAACCGUGAGACAGGUGCUGCAUGGCUGUCGUCAGCUCGUGUUGUGAAAUGUUGGGUUAAGUCCCGCAACGAGCGCAACCC
rnacentral:rRNA from 1 species